rnacentral:rRNA from 1 species
CCCUUGAGGCGUGGCUUCCGGAGCUAACGCGUUAAAUCGACCUCCUGGGGAUUACGGCCGCAAGGAUAAAACUCAAAUGAAUUGACGGGGGCCCGCACAAGCGGUGGAGCAUGUGGUUUAAUUCGAUGCAACUCGAAGAACCUUACCUGGUCUUGACAUCCACAGAACUUAGCAGAGAUGCUUUGGUGCCUUCGUGAAAUGUGAGACAUGUUCUUCAUGGCUGUCGUCAGCUCGUUUUGUGUAA